rnacentral:rRNA from 1 species
AGGGUUUGAUUAUGGCUCAGAUUGAACGCUGGCGGCAGGCCUAACACAUGCAAGUCGAGCGGUAGAGAGAAGCUUGCUUCUCUUGAGAGCGGCGGACGGGUGAGUAAUGCCUAGGAAUCUGCCUGGUAGUGGGGGAUAACGCUCGGAAACGGACGCUAAUACCGCAUACGUCCUACGGGAGAAAGCAGGGGACCUUCGGGCCUUGCGCUAUCAGAUGAGCCUAGGUCGGAUUAGCUAGUUGGUGAGGUAAUGGCUCACCAAGGCGACGAUCCGUAACUGGUCUGAGAGGAUGAUCAGUCACACUGGAACUGAGACACGGUCCAGACUCCUACGGGAGGCAGCAGUGGGGAAUAUUGGACAAUGGGCGAAAGCCUGAUCCAGCCAUGCCGCGUGUGUGAAGAAGGUCUUCGGAUUGUAAAGCACUUUAAGUUGGGAGGAAGGGCAUUAACCUAAUACGUUAGUGUUUUGACGUUACCGACAGAAUAAGCACCGGCUAACUCUGUGCCAGCAGCCGCGGUAAUACAGAGGGUGCAAGCGUUAAUCGGAAUUACUGGGCGUAAAGCGCGCGUAGGUGGUUUGUUAAGUUGGAUGUGAAAUCCCCGGGCUCAACCUGGGAACUGCAUUCAAAACUGACAAGCUAGAGUAUGGUAGAGGGUGGUGGAAUUUCCUGUGUAGCGGUGAAAUGCGUAGAUAUAGGAAGGAACACCAGUGGCGAAGGCGACCACCUGGACUGAUACUGACACUGAGGUGCGAAAGCGUGGGGAGCAAACAGGAUUAGAUACCCUGGUAGUCCACGCCGUAAACGAUGUCAACUAGCCGUUGGGAGCCUUGAGCUCUUAGUGGCGCAGCUAACGCAUUAAGUUGACCGCCUGGGGAGUACGGCCGCAAGGUUAAAACUCAAAUGAAUUGACGGGGGCCCGCACAAGCGGUGGAGCAUGUGGUUUAAUUCG